AAUACCACAUUAAUGACACGCUUAAUUCAACUGCAUAACACUGUGGCAUCUUCAUUCAGAUUCUUUGUCAUUUCUGGCAGAAUAAUACGCUGGUUUGCUCCAUUUCUGUAACCAACGUGUCUGAUUUCUGUCAUUUCAGUACAUCAGGAUUCCUCCCUGUAUACAGGGUUUGUGAUCGCAGUCGCAUGUGUAGUUUUACUUCUCAUCUGCAUCGUCUUGCUCUUAAGGCAGAGAAAAAAGGCUGGAGUGUCAAACGACAGAGAGAUUCAGGUUCAAGAUCCAAGCAGACACGUCUAUGAAAAUGAUUCAUUUGUGAACGUUUCACUCAAGAAAACAGAUGAAGGACAAACUCCUCAACCCACAGAUCCUGAGACAGUCGAGUACAUAACCGUACAUUAAA